GUGACCACAGUGUUUAACGGCCGCGGUAUCCUGACCGUGCGAAGGUAGCGUAAUCACUUGUCUUUUAAAUGAAGACCUGUAUGAAUGGCAUCACGAAGGUUCAACUGUCUCCUUCCCCCAGUCAAUGAAAUUGAUCUGCCCGUGCAGAAGCGGACAUAAAAACAUAAGACGAGAAGACCCUGUGGAGCUUUAGGCCAAGGAUCAAACAUGUAAAACAGACUCAAACCCUAAAAAGAAUAAUAAAAGUCCAAUAAACCAAGAGUAACCUGAUCCUAAUGCCUUCGGUUGGGGCGACCGCGGGGGAAAAUAAAGCCCCCACAUGGAAUGGAACUACUUCCUAAACCAAGAGUUACAACUCUAAGUAACAGAAUUUCUGACCACCUAUGACCCAGGACAAACAUAAACCUGAUCAAUGAACCAAGUUACCCCAGGGAUAACAGCGCAAUCCUUUCCCAGAGUCCAUAUCGACGAAAGGGUUUACGACCUCGAUGUUGGAUCAGGACAUCCUAAUGGUGCAGCCGCUAUUAAGGGUUCGUUUGUUCAACGAUUAAUAGUCCUACGUGAUCU
rnacentral:rRNA from 1 species